rnacentral:SRP_RNA from 1 species
GUAUUUUAAGUACAUUUAAAUUAUUGUAUCAAAGUGAUGGAACAAGGCUGUGUUGGUAGCUGCAAUUUGCUGGCCUGCCUGCUCCAAGUUGAAAGUUGGACCAUGAGACUUGGGCGAAGGUUUGGGUCUCUCGUUUCCUAGACAAGAGGGCACUGCGUUAGGCUGGUUUCACAGAGCAGCGAACACCUCUGGCUCCCAACAGUGGAGGGAUAACAGAGGCUGCUGCACUACCAGCCCACUAAGCCUGGUGGGCCUAGCCUUUGGAUGGUCAUCAUUUUU